rnacentral:rRNA from 1 species
UACAUGGGGUGCAAACGUUGCUCGGAAUUAUUGGGCGUAAAGCGCGCGUAGGCGGUUGCCUAAGUCGGACGUGAAAGCCCUCGGCUUAACCGAGGAAGUGCAUCCGAAACUGAGCAGCUAGAGUACGAAAGAGGGUCGCGGAAUUCCCGGUGUAGAGGUGAAAUUCGUAGAUAUCGGGAGGAACACCGGCGGCGAAGGCGGCGACCUGGGUCGAGACUGACGCUGAGGCGCGAAAGCGUGGGGAGCAAACAGG